CCCGGUUAUUUUCUGAUCGCUAAUACACGCUCCCAAUGGGCCGAAGUCGAGACUGUUUUGUGAAGGAACGGCAAGUGAUUCACGCAACAGGAUGGCCCAGCCAGGCAAGAAGAGUGUCACAUUAUAUCUAACUUCUCUUGAAUUUUACUCCUAAUGAAUAGGCAUGACUCUGUAGUGGAAGUCCCUGCAAGAAGUAAAAUCACCUCUAAAAGCCAUUAUCUGUUUCUUUUGUUUUAUUUUUGUUUUUUUGUUUCUUUCUUGUUUUAUUUUUUGUUGUUGUUUGUUUUUAUGUGUGUGCUGUAUUAGGUGGAUGUAGAUUUUGUUUUGUAAUACAAAGUUAUGGACGUACUUUAUUCAUCUAUAAGUAUCAGGUACAUCUAAGCAAGUUGCGAGGAAGCUUGUUGUGGGUACUUAUUAUGUAAAGGGAAGAGGUGGGAGUUUAUAAGUUAUUCU